AUUGCAAAGAGUGCCGGGUGAGAAGGAUCCCUAGGGAGGAGGUCCAGGAAGGGAGGUAGUGUGACCCUGAGGAGGGGGUGAAGGGCUUGGAGGAGCACUUGGAUCUUCUUAGAAAUAGAACAAGGAGCUGCAGGAGGGUGCUGGCUGAGGACAUUUGUAGCUAAACAUGAUGUCACAUGAGCUCUUUCGCCUCCAUCAUCGUGGCGGCAGCUGCGGUGGCCGCGCGGUUUAGUCGCGCAUGUGCAGUGUGUGGUCUACGCCUGGGAGCGGCACACCCUUGAGGUGACUGGCAGGAGAUGGUUAGUCCCUGGGCUGAAGAUCAGGUAGCGUGGCAUCGCUCCAGAAGCUCAAACCGUUCUCCUGGUUGGCCCUAGAGGCUGAGACAGCCUGGGGUGGAGUGGAGCCUCUGACACCCUGGAAGCAGCAGACUGCGUGCUUGGAGGUCAAGGUCGUGGUUCCCUGACCUGGGCUGAGAGAGAAGACGUCAGCACACAGGGUGGCUAAACAGGAGAAAAGAAGACCUGACUGGCCAAAGAGUGUCUACUAGCAAUGUUUAUGGGGACCCAACCAUGUCCACGUCUUUACUGGGCUGCUUUCCUGCCACGAAGACAGAGAAGUAGUUGGGACAGACACAGCACGCCCUGACUGCUAAUACUUUGUUUACUGAAACCUCAAACAACCUACUUGCUCCUCAGUCACUGCAAGCAGGAAUGUCUACUGGAGAAGGAGAAAUAAAAGACUCAUCAGGGUCUGCAUCUGAUUCUGUGUAAAUCUGAGGAAUGAGCUGGUGAGAAGCAUAGACAUGGCCCUUACGCUCCACGACACUGACUCCUGGGAAGUGAGUCCUGAAGAGUCAAGGCAGAAGGCAGAAGGCAUUCCUAAGAUGGCAGUAUUUCAAUUACAGAGCCAGACAUCCUGGAAUGUGAAGUCAAGUGGGCCUUGGAAAGCAUCACUACGAACAAAGCUAGUGGAGGUGAUGGAAUUCCAGUUGAGCUAUUUCAAAUCCUGAAAGACAAUGCUGUGAAAGUGCUGCACUCAAUAUGCCAGCAAAUUUGGAAAACUCAGUAGUGGCCAC
ensembl:lncRNA